AACGAACGCUGGCGGCAGGCCUAACACAUGCAAGUCGAGCGCCCUUUCGGGGGAGCGGCGGCCGGGUGAGUAACGCGUGGGAAUAUGCCCUUCUCUACGGAAUAGCCUCGGGAAACUGAGAGUAAUACCGUAUACGCCCCAUGGGGGCAAGAUUUAUCGGGGAAGGAUUAGCCCGCGUUGGAUUAGGUAGUUGGUGGGGUAAUGGCCUACCAAGCCGACGAUCCAUAGCUGGUUUGAGAGGAUGAUCAGCCACACUGGGACUGAGACACGGCCCAGACUCCUACGGGAGGCAGCAGUGGGGAAUCUUAGACAAUGGGGGCAACCCUGAUCGAGCCAUGCCGCGUGAGUGAUGAAGGCCUUAGGGUUGUAAAGCUCUUUCAGCUGGGAAGAUAAUGACGGUACCAGCAGAAGAAGCCCCGGCUAACUCCGUG
rnacentral:rRNA from 1 species